CCUACGGGGCGCAGCAGUGGGGAAUAUUGGGCAAUGGGCGCAAGCCUUACCCAGCAACGCCGCGUGAAGGAAGAAGGCUUUCGGGUUGUAAACUUCUUUUAUCAGGGACGAAACAAAUGACGGUACCUGAUGAAUAAGCCACGGCUAACUACGUGCCAGCAGCCGCGGUAAUACGUAGGUGGCAAGCGUUAUCCGGAUUUACUGGGUGUAAAGGGCGUGUAAGCGGGACUGCAAGUCAGAUGUGAAACCCAUGGGCUCAACCCAUGGCCUGCAUUUGAAACUGUAGUUCUUGAGCGAUGGAGAGG
rnacentral:rRNA from 1 species